GAUCAAUAAGUGAGGUUGUACUUUUGACUGGCUUGCAUCUUUCCUCUACCUCUAUACUCCAAGUUCCUGGCUGGCACUGGAGUUACAUCCUUAGCAUGGGCAUCAUAACCUCCAGGUGAGAUCCAGGCUUGUUUCCGGGAAGUAACCCUAACAGAAAUUCAGAAGCACGGGAGCUGCAUUCAAUUAGGACGUGGAUCCAUGAAAUG
rnacentral:lncRNA from 1 species